rnacentral:lncRNA from 1 species
AAACCCAUCUCCAUCGUCCAAUAAGGUUGAAUUCAAUGACUCACACGCAACAGACCAUACUAGGCUAUUGAGCUUACCAUUUCUUCAUGUGGAGGGACAUUUAGCCCAAUAGUCAUCCUCAUGGAAGGAUACAAUUCUUUAAACUUGGGAUCUGAGCCAACUAUAGAGGAAAAGGGUCACCUAUAUCAUAAAAUAUAGGUUAAGGAAGUGGUAAAGGACAAAUAAACCAAACUAUAGAGGAAAAAGGUCACCUAUAUCAUAAAAUAUAGGUUAAGAAAGUGCUAUUUCCCUUCCCCUUCCCCCACAGAUGUAGGCCCCAAUAGAUAAAUCUCACCCCUCUAUCUUUCUCUUUUCAUUUCUCCAUUUCCAUUCUCUCUUAUCUCUCGCUCCUCACCUAUUUCAUUC